GCAGCAAGAUGAGUGUCUGAUCUGAUAUUUACCAACCUUCAUCAGUACGAUUGUUCAGAAAGUUUAGGUAGCUGCUGGUGGCUUGGCUUUCUUUGUUCUCACAGAAGAGGGCAAAACAUUUUCAAAGAUUUUCUUUUUUCCAGCCGAGCUUUUCCCUCUUCUGAGGCAGUAAAUAGCACCAUCUUGUGUACUGUGUCCUGACACAGCCUGGCCGUCAAAUGGGCUCCUACAGGAAGAGAGGAUUGUGUGACUAGGGAGCUGCUAUCACACAGGUUUGUUAAGCUCUAAGCCAGGGGUCAGGGAACUUUUUUACCUUUUACCCCCCCCCAAAAAAAAAUUUAUAUACGCCGACAUUACUGCCCUGAUUUGAAAGGAAGGAAACCAUACAUUAUUUGAAUUAAAAAUAUUAUUGAAACUACACAGGCUGUGUACCGAACUAGCAGGAU
rnacentral:lncRNA from 1 species